rnacentral:piRNA from 1 species
GAACUUCCCAGAAAGUCACACGUGGCCC